rnacentral:rRNA from 1 species
UACGUAGGGUGCAAGCGUUAAUCGGAAUUACUGGGCGUAAAGCGUGCGCAGGCGGUUAUGUAAGACAGGUGUGAAAUCCCCGGGCUUAACCUGGGAACUGCAUUUGUGACUGCAUAGCUAGAGUACGGUAGAGGGAGAUGGAAUUCCGCGUGUAGCAGUGAAAUGCGUAGAUAUGCGGAGGAACACCGAUGGCGAAGGCAAUCCCCCUGGACCUGUACUGACGCUCAUGCACGAAAGGCGUGGGGAGCAAACAGGAUUAGAAAACCCUGG